UAGGGUAUAGCUCAGUGGUAGAGUGUGUGCUUAGCACGCACGAGGUCCUGAGUUCAAUCUGCAGUACCUUUG
rnacentral:tRNA from 1 species